GUCGGUAUCGAUUAGGGGGGUAAAUCACUUCGUUGUGGCCGAAGAGCCGCUGGUUCGAUUCCAGCUACCGACA
rnacentral:tRNA from 1 species